AGCCUCAGCAGCUAUAUGACCACAACAGCACGAGAGACCCCAAAUGAGGACUGCCCAGAUGAGUUCAUUUACCCUGCAAAACUAAGAGGGAUAAUACUAAUGAAGCGUUGCCUCAAGCCACUAAGUUUUACCCUGAUGGGAACCAUCAAGCAGAACCUUCUGGACCUGUACUUCCGAGUUCACUAGGGCUGGGAGAACUCAGCCCAGGGAUCAGCAACGCAUGUACGAGUCUCUCCAGAAGAGACAUAACACUGACUGUAUGCUCUACAACUAACUAAUCUUCAGUUUGCAGAAGAGGAAACUAAAGGACAGGAAGUUGGCUGAUUCCUACAAUGAGCAGAAGUUACAGCAAAGGUCAAUGCCAGGACUGAGUUCCCUGUUUUUCUCACUCACAUUCUUUAAGUUGGUACCUGGGCCCCUGGUGCAGGAUGGGUUCUUCAUAAACCUUUAUUAAAUAAGUGUUCAAUAAAUCAAUACUCAGUUUUCUCCAUUGUAAA
rnacentral:lncRNA from 10 species